rnacentral:tRNA from 1 species
UAUUAGGUUAUUUUAUUAAACCUUUGACCUUCAAAGUCAAAAAACUCUUGAUAUUUUGUUUGU